rnacentral:rRNA from 1 species
GACGAACGCUGGCGGCGUGCUUAACACAUGCAAGUCGAACGGAAAGGCCCUGCUUGCGGGGUGCUCGAGUGGCGAACGGGUGAGUAACACGUGGGUGAUCUGCCCCUUACUUUGGGAUAAGCCUGGGAAACUGGGUCUAAUACUGGAUAGGACCAUGCUGUAGGUGGUGUGGUGGAAAGAUUAGUUUCGGUAAGGGAUGAGCUCUCGGCCUAUCAGCUUGUUGGUGGGGUAAUGGCCUACCAAGGCGUCGACGGGUAGCCGGCCAGAGAGGGUGGACGGCACGGUUGGGACUGCGAUAGGGCGCAGACUCAUGCGGGAGGCAGCAGUGGGGAAUAGUGUAACAUGGGAGCAAGCCUGAUGCAGCGACGCCACGUGGGGGAUGAAGGCCUUCGGGUUGUAAAGUCCUUUCGGCCAUGAAGAAGCCCUUGUGGUGACGGUAGUGGGAGAAGAAGCAACGGCUAACUACGUG